UKGACGRUAUYUAAACAGAAAAGUCACGGCUAAAUACGUGCCAGCAGCCRCAGAUAAUAMGUAGGUGGCAAGCAGUGUCCGGRAUWUAWUGGGCGUAAAAGCGAGCGCAGGCGGUAUUMUUAAAGUCUGAURUKAAAAGCCCCCGGCUCAACCGGAGAGGRUCAUKGGAAAMUGGGAGACUUGAGUGCAGAAGAGGAGAAGKGAAAUUCCAUGURUAAGCGGUGAAAWGMGUAGAUAUAWRGARGAACACAAGUGGMGAAGGCGGCUCUCUGGUCUGUAACUGACGCUGAGGCUCGAAAGCGUGGGGAGCAAACAGGAUUAGAUACCCUGGUAGUCCACGCCGUAAACGAUGAGUGCUAAAGUGUUGGAGGGUUUCCGCCCUUCAGUGCUGCAGCAAACGCAUUAAGCACUCCGCCUGGGGAGUACGWCCGCAAGGUWGAAACUCAAAGGAAUUGACGGGGGCCCGCACAAGCGGUGGAGCAUGWGGUUUAAUUCGAAGCAACGCGAAGAACCUUACCAGGUCUUGACAUCCUUUGASCACUCUAGAGAUAGAGCUUUCCCUUCGGGGACAAAGUGACAGGUGGUGCAUGGUUGUCGUCAGCUCGUGUCGUGAGAUGUUGGGUUAAGUCCCGCAACGAGCGCAACCCUUAUUGUUAGUUGCCAUCAUUUAGUUGGGCACUCUAGCGAGACUGCCGGUGACAAACCGGAGGAAGGUGGGGAUGACGUCAAAUCAUCAUGCCCCUUAUGACCUGGGCUACACACGUGCUACAAUGGGAAGUACAACGAGUCGCUAGACCGCGAGGUCAUGCAAAUCUCUUAAAGCUUCUCUCAGUUCGGAUUGCAGGCUGCAAMUCGCCUGCAUGAAGCCGGAAUCGCUAGUAAUCGCGGAUCAGCACGCCGCGGUGAAUACGUUMCCGGGCCUUGUACACACCGCCMARWCACACCACGAGAGUUUGUAACACCCGAAGUCGGUGAGGUAACMUUUUUGARCCCACCCGCMYWUAAGG
rnacentral:rRNA from 1 species